GGGUUGUGAGGUUAAGCGAACAAGCGUACACGGUGGAUGCCCUGGCAGUCAGAGGCGAUGAAGGACGUGCUAAUCUGCGAAAAGCGCCGGUAAGGUGAUAUGAACCGUUAUAACCGGCGAUGUCCGAAUGGGGAAACCCGGUGCACUUCGGUGCAUCAUCGUUAGCUGAAUACAUAGGCUAACGAAGCGAACCGGGGGAACUGAAACAUCUAAGUACCCCGAGGAAAAGAAAUCAACCGAGAUUCCCCCAGUAGCGGCGAGCGAACGGGGAACAGCCCAGAGCCUGAAUCAGCUUGUGUGUCAGUGGAACGGUCUGGAAAGGCCGGCGAUACAGGGUGACAGCCCCGUACACGAAGGCACACAGGCUGUGAGCUCGAUGAGUAGGGCGGGACACGUGAUAUCCUGUCUGAAGAUGGGGGGACCAUCCUCCAAGGCUAAAUACUCCUGACUGACCGAUAGUGAACCAGUACCGUGAGGGAAAGGCGAAAAGAACCCCGGCGAGGGGAGUGAAACAGAACCUGAAACCGUGUACGUACAAGCAGUGGGAGCCUUCGUAAGAGGGUGACUGCGUACCUUUUGUAUAAUGGGUCAGCGACUUAUAUUCUGUAGCAAGGUUAACCGUAUAGGGGAGCCGAAGGGAAACCGAGUCUUAAUUGGGCGUUAAGUUGCAGGGUAUAGACCCGAAACCCGGUGAUCUAGCCAUGGGCAGGUUGAAGGUUGGGUAACACUAACUGGAGGACCGAACCGACUAAUGUUGAAAAAUUAGCGGAUGACCUGUGGCUGGGGGUGAAAGGCCAAUCAAACCGGGAGAUAGCUGGUUCUCCCCGAAAGCUAUUUAGGUAGCGCCUCGUGAACUCAUCUCCGGGGGUAGAGCACUGUUUCGGCUAGGGGGCCAUCCCGGCUUACCAACCCGAUGCAAACUGCGAAUACCGGAGAAUGUUAUCACGGGAGACACACGGCGGGUGCUAACGUCCGUCGUGAAGAGGGAAACAACCCAGACCGCCAGCUAAGGUCCCAAAGUCAUGGUUAAGUGGGAAACGAUGUGGGAAGGCCCAGACAGCCAGGAUGUUGGCUUAGAAGCAGCCAUCAUUUAAAGAAAGCGUAAUAGCUCACUGGUCGAGUCGGCCUGCGCGGAAGAUGUAACGGGGCUAAACCAUGCACCGAAGCUGCGGCAGCGACGCUUAGGCGUUGUUGGGUAGGGGAGCGUUCUGUAAGCCUGUGAAGGUGUGCUGUGAGGCAUGCUGGAGGUAUCAGAAGUGCGAAUGCUGACAUAAGUAACGAUAAAGCGGGUGAAAAGCCCGCUCGCCGGAAGACCAAGGGUUCCUGUCCAACGUUAAUCGGGGCAGGGUGAGUCGACCCCUAAGGCGAGGCCGAAAGGCGUAGUCGAUGGGAAACAGGUUAAUAUUCCUGUACUUGGUGUUACUGCGAAGGGGGGACGGAGAAGGCUAUGUCAGCCGGGCGACGGUCGUCCCGGUUUAAGCGUGUAGGCUGACCUUCCAGGCAAAUCCGGAAGGUUAAGGCUGAGGCGUGAUGACGAGGCACCACGGUGCUGAAGUGACAAAUGCCCUGCUUCCAGGAAAAGCCUCUAAGCAUCAGGUAACAUCAAAUCGUACCCCAAACCGACACAGGUGGUCAGGUAGAGAAUACCAAGGCGCUUGAGAGAACUCGGGUGAAGGAACUAGGCAAAAUGGUGCCGUAACUUCGGGAGAAGGCACGCUGACAUGUAGGUGAAGCCCCUGCGGGUGGAGCUGAAGUCAGUCGAAGAUACCAGCUGGCUGCAACUGUUUAUUAAAAACACAGCACUGUGCAAACACGAAAGUGGACGUAUACGGUGUGACGCCUGCCCGGUGCCGGAAGGUUAAUUGAUGGGGUUAUCGCAAGAGAAGCUCCUGAUCGAAGCCCCGGUAAACGGCGGCCGUAACUAUAACGGUCCUAAGGUAGCGAAAUUCCUUGUCGGGUAAGUUCCGACCUGCACGAAUGGCGUAAUGAUGGCCAGGCUGUCUCCACCCGAGACUCAGUGAAAUUGAACUCGCUGUGAAGAUGCAGUGUACCCGCGGCAAGACGGAAAGACCCCGUGAACCUUUACUACAGCUUGACACUGAACAUUGAGCCUUGAUGUGUAGGAUAGGUGGGAGGCUUUGAAGCGUGGACGCCAGUCUGCGUGGAGCCAACCUUGAAAUACCACCCUUUAAUGUUUGAUGUUCUAACCUGGCGCCGUGAUCCGGCGUGGGGACAGUGUCUGGUGGGUAGUUUGACUGGGGCGGUCUCCUCCCAAAGUGUAACGGAGGAGCACGAAGGUCAGCUAAUCCUGGUCGGACAUCAGGAGGUUAGUGCAAUGGCAUAAGCUGGCUUGACUGCGAGAGUGACGGCUCGAGCAGGUGCGAAAGCAGGUCAUAGUGAUCCGGUGGUUCUGUAUGGAAGGGCCAUCGCUCAACGGAUAAAAGGUACUCCGGGGAUAACAGGCUGAUACCGCCCAAGAGUUCAUAUCGACGGCGGUGUUUGGCACCUCGAUGUCGGCUCAUCACAUCCUGGGGCUGAAGUAGGUCCCAAGGGUAUGGCUGUUCGCCAUUUAAAGUGGUACGCGAGCUGGGUUUAGAACGUCGUGAGACAGUUCGGUCCCUAUCUGCCGUGGGCGCUGGAGAAUUGAGGGGGGCUGCUCCCAGUACGAGAGGACCGGAGUGGACGCAUCACUGGUGUUCGGGUUGUCAUGCCAAUGGCACUGCCCGGUAGCUAAAUGCGGAAGAGAUAAGUGCUGAAAGCAUCUAAGCACGAAACUUGCCCCGAGAUGAGUUCUCCCUGAGACUAUAAGUCUCCUGAAGGAACGUUGAAGACGACGACGUUGAUAGGCCGGGUGUGUAAGCGCAGCGAUGCGUUGAGCUAACCGGUACUAAUGAACCGUGAGGCUUAACCUUACAACGCCAAAGAAGU
rnacentral:rRNA from 1 species